UACGGGGGGGGCAAGCGUUGUUCGGAAUUACUGGGCGUAAAGGGCUCGUAGGCGGCCAACUAAGUCGGAUGUGAAAUCCCCAGGCUCAACCUGGGAACUGCAUCCGAUACUGGAUGGCUUGAAUUCGGGAGAGGGAUGCAGAAUUCCAGGUGUAGCGGUGAAAUGCGUAGAUAUCUGGAGGAACACCGGUGGCGAAGGCGGCAUCCUGGACCAACACUGACGCUGAGUGAGCGAAAGCCAGGGGAGCAAACGGG
rnacentral:rRNA from 1 species